rnacentral:tRNA from 1 species
GGCGAGAUGGCCGAGUUGGUUAUGGCGCCAGGUUAAGGAUCAUCCUUAGCAUCAUAUCCUGGUAGGGAAACCUGCGUGGGUUCAAGUCCCACUCUCGUCA